UACGUAGGGGGCAAGCGUUGUCCGGAUUUAUUGGGCGUAAAGAGCUCGUAGGUGGUUCGGUAAGUCGGAUGUGAAAUCUCCAGGCUCAACCUGGAGGGGUCAUUCGAUACUGCCGUGACUAGAGUUCGGUAGGGGAGUGUGGAAUUCCUGGUGUAGCGGUGAAAUGCGCAGAUAUCAGGAAGAACACCCGUGGCGAAAGCGGCUCUCUGGAACGGUACUGACGCUGAGACGCGAAAGCGUGGGGAGCGAACAGG
rnacentral:rRNA from 1 species